rnacentral:lncRNA from 1 species
AUUUGACAAUUCCACAUACACCGUUGCGUAAAGCACGACGAAACGAGUUCGUAGACACGAAGUGGACUCGAAUCGGAGCUUUAACGAAGAAUAUACGAUUAAAAUAUCAUGAGGGGUAAAAUGGUAAUCUGAAAAAUCAGAUUUUAAAAACCUCACUUAUCUCUCUUCUCCCUCAGUUUUCCUCUCUCUCUCUCUCUCUCUCUCUCUCUCUCUCUCCCUCU